UACACGGAUAUAAUUCGGUGCAAACAUAAUAUCUCACAUACUUAAAUACAGGAUUACCCAUCGUACAGAAACCCCACUCCUACUUAUACACCCACAGACAUGGGAAGGAGAAACUGGAAAAGGAUGCUUUUUGACGGUACUGCUCACAAUAACUCAAAAGUGGAAAAUACCUGAAUGUCCAUCAGUUCCUGAAAAGAUAAACCAAAGGAGGUACAUACACGCAGUCAACUGUUGGACACCUUAAAACGGGUGGCGUUCUAACCUGAGUCACGAUAUGCAUAAACCCUGCUAACACUGUAAGUAGAAUAAGCCGGGGACAGAGAAUGUAUGUUUUAUGAUUCUACUUAUGCGAGGCACCUCCUUGUUAAAUUCAGAGGUGGAAGGUAUCGCCCUGGACUGGGGAGGUGACUCAGGUCUUCCAGAGGACCUGACUUUGAUUCUCAGUUUCCACCUGACUGUUCAUAACUUCAGUUCCAGGAGAUCCAAUGACCAGAAUAUCAGGUACACAUGUGGCUCACAGAUGAACAAGCAGGCGAAGCACCCAUACACAUAAAUACAUUAAUUUAACAAAAAUAUAAAUUAUCACAUUGAUCAUAACAUCUGAAGUGAUUGGGGAUCAUUUUAAAAUUUGACUAUUUUAUUUAUUAUUAUAUAUUGAUUAGGGUGUGUUAGCUAUAUAAUAUAAUGGAUGUCCCUAUAACAUUGUCCUUGAUGUACGUAGUGCACUUUCAUCAUAUUUGGCCCUCUCUUGUCGUCUCUUCUUCUAGUCCCUUUCCUCUUCUUGAACAUUCCUCUUUAUGCUUUCAUAUUUAUUUCUUAAACUCUAGAUACUGCAUAUGGGAGAAAAUGUGAUAUUUGUCUUUCUGAGCAUGGCUUAUUUUGCUUAACAUCAUGAUCUUUGGUUCCAACCAUUUUGCUGCAAAUGACAUAAUUUUGUUCUUUAUGGCUGCAUAAAACAUGAGAGCCGUUUUGAGUGGGUGAGAGAGUUUGUUUGGGAGGAUGAAUAAGUUCUGAGAAUGGAUGCGUGAUAGUUUUGCAACACUGUGAAUGUAUUUAAUGCCACUAAAUUUUAUACUCAAAAUGGCUAAAAUGAUAGGUUUUAUGUGUGUGUGUAUAUAUGCAUACAUGGAUUAUCAGAGUGAAGAAGCAGAAGGCAGAGCUCUCACUCAUAUAGUUCUUUAUCUUGUUUGCACUCAGUUGCUGUGGUUCUCUGGUGUCUGCCUUCUGCUGUCCUGUUCAGUGACAUUUGGAUUCAGUCUUUGAUUCCAUGGAUCCCAGGGAGCUGCUGUGCCUGAUUAUAUUGCCCCCUGAGAGGGAGGAUUUUCUUUGUCUCUUUCAGUGUGUGUCACAGAACUUCUUUGUUCUCUGGCAAGGUUGUGCUUGACUGCUUCUUGAACAAUUAGAAAGGCUUACAGAUGUGUAAAAUGAUAGAAAUCUCAAGGCUUUCGACCCAAUCCCCCUCCAUUGGGGCAACUCAGUAUUUGCCACAUGAUCUCUCUGUUUCUAGGACUUCUGUCAUCAAAUCCAUAUCUGUGUAUGGAUGUUCUCUGUCUUUCCUCAAAAUAGCUUUAGCAAUAGGCACAAAUGGGCACAUUGCCUAAAGAGUGAUGGCAAACUUCACUCCAGCCUUUUAAAUGUUCUCAUUGCAUACCCGAUAUUGCCUUUCCUUUCCCACUGCUAGGAUUACGUAUUUUGAGGUACCUUUCCAGACAAAACUACAAUUUACCAAUCUACAUGUAUAUAUAAGAUAUUCUGAGAAUUAUGUGUUUUUCUGAAAGUGUUUUUUUUGGGGGGGGGGUUUGUUUUUACUUUUAACAACUUACAAUCCAAAAUCCAAUUUCCAAUGGGCCCUGUACUCAAAAUGUAUCCCAGUUUAACUAAAAGUAAGUGUAACAAAAGAAAGUGUGGCACAAAGGAUUCUGUCCUUGGUUCCAGAUGACAGGAGAAGAGGCUUGCAGGAUGACCACGAUAGAGUGAGGUGGCUACUGGAAAUGCUGCAAAAAUCAUUUUUGGUGCUGUUGGGUUUGUUCCCAGCAGAGGGCGCUGUCACCCUAUAUGAUACUCCCUGGGUACUCUGGCAUCCACUGAUUCUUCAAUUUUAUAUUCUUGUCAACAUUUCCAAACCUCAGCUUCGGUGACCAUAACCUUGGGAAAGCAUCCAGAUCUGAGGUUUCAGCAACAGUUCAAGGUUUAUUGGGAAAUAUUCAUCUUCUCACCAUGGAGGCAGCUCUAUCUAGUUUUAACCAAAGGCCCAAGAACCCAACAAAGCUACAGUUGACAAGAAAGUUAUCAGGGCAAACGGCUUCAUUUAUGUUCCCAGGCCUGGCUUCCUUUCUCUUUAAAUGCCUGGUUUGGAAAGCAGACCCAAUUUCUACAAGUAGCAAGAAAUGUUGGGGCAUGCAAGCCGUGCUAGAAGUGUGCCCUGUGCUGGGGAAACACACUUCCCAGACUAAAUUAGCUGAGCAUGCAGGGAGAUGACAGUUGAGAAGACAAGGGAGUAAUAUAUUUUUCAUUCGACAGCAAGCUAACGGAGAUGAUUGUUGCUCACAGGAGAAGCUGGGAAAUGCUGGGCAGCUGUGAAGGCUGAAGCCUUUGGGAUUGCUGCCAAGGGGAGGUGACUUACAUGCUCCAGGCCAUAACGACUUCAUAGGCAGUGCAGAGAGUGACAGGCUGACUUAUGCUGGAGGAGUUACACUCUGUAUGCUUGAAGGCACUACUUAGCCACCACCCUCCCACUUCUGCAAUUACCCGGAACCCAGAGAGGUUUGAAAACAACUUUUCAACUUUCAGUAAUGGUACUCAGCUACCCAUGUGAACGUCUAUGAAAGCAAGCCCAUGGUUACCUGCCUUAGAUCGCUGCUGGCAGGGGUGAGUGACAGGGCUGUAAAGGUCAAGUCUUCAUAAUAGAGUGGAUGGAAUCAGACCCUAUGGCUGAGAGCUGUGAGUAAGAGAUGACAAUGACCCUUUGCUGAGACCCUGCAUUGUCUUGGGUCUUAGCAGCCCGAAGCCCUGUCAUAAUGGGACUUCUGCUUCAUCUUUUACGGUGCAGUAAACUUAAGAGAGUUUGAGGAGUUCCUUUGAAGUCACAGUCCAAGAUAGAGAGCCAGGACCGCUUGCAGCCUGUUUGGUAGCACAGACCUGAUUCUUUCUAUUACUGGGUUCCUUGGGACUUGAGAGGAUCCAAAUCUACCUAUCAGGUAGCUUAGCUGCCUUCCUAGGGAAGGUGGAUUGGCUUGGGAAGAACGAUUGUUAUAGGGAAGGUGCCAAUAAGGAGGUAGUUUGUGUCAUGACCUCCUUCCAGGGGUCAAAGAUAUCAUCUAGACCAAUUUCCUAUACUGCCUCCCUGAGGGAAAUGAUACACUGAGCCAAUAUUGUCUGAGCCCAGGCUGUAAAACUUGGCCCCAUAUAGGUCGAUCUGGGGCUUCAACAAAGAACAUUCCCUUGAAGAAUCUUAUUGUAACUUUAUUGCAGCCUGCAGGAAGGAAAGCAAGGUGGGAAAACCAAGGACUUAGUGGGGAUCCAGAGGUGAGAGUCGAAUGCUCUGGUGAUUUCAGCCAAGAUCCUUUGUUCAGAUUCUGAUGACAACGAUGAUGAUGAAGAUGACGAUGAUGAAGAGGAUGAUGAAAACGAGGAGGAUGGCUUUACAUCUGACUCAGUGAAACACAGGAUGAUGCAAGAAGGAAUUUGAUUCAUAGGAAACUAGAUUGUCUCUCAGGAUGCAUCCCGUCAAGGGGCACUGGAGAAAGCUUCCCAGUAAUGUGUUAGAGGUAAAGCCUAGUCAAUGAGAUAGCUAUCGUGAGGGAGAGAACCCAUUUGCUUCUGUGUGACCUGGAGUAGUGUGACUUCCAUGAUAGUAUCAUAGGCCGGAAGUCUGUGGUCGUGGGGGGAGGCUUACCAAGACCCUGUUGGGUAGAGCAAGAAAGUGAAAGCGUUUCCUCAGCUAGAUGCGAUUAAUGCUCCAUUGUGAUCUGGGACCAGCAGCUCCAUGAGCGAGAUUGCUUUUUUCAACCAUCUCCACUCUUGGAAUAUUCUUCACUAUCCUUCACAGCUGGCCAUGUCCUAGUCACUGUUCAAGGCUCCCUUGUCACCUCCCUUGUCAUUCUUCCUCCUUACUGUCAAAUGGUGGCAUUGAAAAAUCAUCUUUUAGCAGGUUCAAGCUGAAUUUAUUGGUUGCCAAAAAAGGCAGACUACUUCCUUGACUUUUAUGGUCAUGGUUAUGGUCAUCAAGUAUGGUCUUUAAGUAUAGUCACCUGCUAUGAUCAUUAGUCAUAGCUAACAAAUAAUUACCUGUUACGGGGAGAGGACACUUACAGCAUCUUAGAUAAACUAAGGUUAAUCCAAGAAACUUACAAAGUUGUGAAGAUAGCCCCUAAAUUCCAAUGUCUAUUAGGAUUGUCUAAACCAAGACUGGUAGACACAGGAGACUGCAGGCUCUGAGAAGCUUGGAAGGGAUCUGGAUGGAUCGUUAAUGAUCAUUGCAAAAGGUUAAAAUGUUGAACAAUUCUGUAUCUUGAAGACUCUUUAGAUGAAUCUGAGAUUCAUCUUCCUGCUCAAGGUUUUCCUGGAACCAUAGAGCAGAGUUAAUAGUGAUAGGUUCAGAGUCAGACCCUGUGGCUGAAGGCUGAGUGGAUGUAGUAGAGUUGGUUCUUAUCAACCUUAGAAAAAUGACUACUCCCUCUACCACAGAUGUUGCUGUCUGCUGCUUCUCUGAGCAUACACUUGUGUACGGCCAUUCUGAGUCUUCCUGCUUGCAGGCCCUUGUACAUGAGCAAUUUGGGGGGCCAGGGAAGAGAUUACACAUGUUCAAACAUAUAGACAUUGAGGAUACUCUGGAAUAUAUGAAUGACAACUUUUCAAAUGUGCUUGUUACAUCAGCAACUGAUUACCUUACAGACAAAUGCUCUAAAAACACAUUUAGUUCUCCUGUGCCCUUCUCUUCUCCCUCUCCAGACCCUGUCUCUUAACUUUAAAAAAAGAUUGGAGAAAAGUGCUCAAUUUGAAGAAUGGAAAAAAGAUGAAAUUAUAACUCCUUGCAUCUAGCCUCUAAUCAGAAGCACUGUUAUAUAUUCUUGAAGUAGGAAAAGGUCAAACAUGUCGUGUAAAGAAAGAAGCGAUGUAACAGGAACUGACUAUCACAGCCCAAAGACUAGCCAGAGGAUGGAGAAGGGGGAAGCCAUGCAGAAGCGAUAUUGGGAGGAACCACACAGGCAUUGAGAUUGACCAUUUCCGAAGAUACCAUUUGCACAGGGGCAUAUGGACCAUAAUUACAACAGGAUUCUCUGAAGGUGGUGGGGCUUGCACCUGGCUAAUAAGUCAUUCAAACUAGAAGCAGGAAGAUAGACUGAGAAGGAAUAA